rnacentral:tRNA from 1 species
AGGGGUGUAGCUCAGUUGGUAGAGCAACGGUCUCCAAAACCGUGUGUCGCGAGUUCAAGUCUUGCCACCCCUGCCA